CAACCGAUAUCAGCAGCACUCAUUCUCCCGUUAACGAUAUAACCAUCAUCUACCUAUCCACUCAAUAAUAUAAAAUCCCUGUACAGUCUACAGACAGGUCAGUUAGUGGUCAAUAAUCGCUACGACAAAGUACGCUACAACGCUACAAACGCGGAAAUUAUAAAGUGACCAAAGUGGAAUACGGUGUUAGUGAUCAGUGACAAGAAGAAAUCAUCCAUCUUUACCCAAGGAGUCGGUGCAAGAGUGCACAUUUGGGAUUCGAUAUAUCCUGACUCUCCCUUUGUCGCUGCACCCAGGAUGGGCGCGCCCCAGCACUAAGAGGGUGGUAGAAUGAGGAUCGGCCUAUUUAUUCCGCCAACACAGAAUGGCGUAAUGGUGGUAGUGAUCACAGUGUUGCAGUAAUCCCACCAGCAGUUAAUUCGGCGUCAGUGGAAUGGACUCCGAUCGGUAUAGUCGGAGCUAUCAGCAUGAUGGAUCGCUGUCCGGACAGUACGAAGCAUGUUUCAACCGCCGUGGGAUAGACAUCGACACUCUGACACACUUCCACAUUAGUGUUAAGACAACGUAGGUUAGGGAUGCACAGACAUAGGAGUAAGUAAUAAAACCUUUUUUUUAGUUUUCUUUAUCCAAAUUUUAAUUAAUUUCAAUCAUUAAAUGAAUAGUAUUAUGUGAAAUUAUGACUCUUUCUUUGUGCUAUUGGGAGAUUCGGAAGAAUUCUACGUUUCAUAUCGCUUUU